rnacentral:rRNA from 1 species
GAGUAACACGUGGGUAACCCUGGCCCAUAAGAGGGGGGAUAACAUCCGGAAACGGGUGCUAAUACCGCAUAGUUUUCUUGAUCGCAUGAUUGAGAAAGGAAAGACGGCCUUUGUGCUGUCGCUUAUGGAUGGACCCGCGGCGUAUUAGUUAGUUGGUGAGGUAACGGCUCACCAAGACGAUGAUACGUAGCCGACCUGAGAGGGUGAUCGGCCACAUUGGGACUGAGACACGGCCCAAACUCCUACGGGAGGCAGCAGUAGGGAAUCUUCCGCAAUGGACGAAAGUCUGACGGAGCAACGCCGCGUGAGUGAAGAAAGGUUUUCGGAUCGUAAAACUCUGUUGUCAGAGAAGAACAAGUUGGAGAGUAACUGCUCCAGCCUUGACGGUAUCUGACCAGAAAGCCACGGCUAACUACGUGCCAGCCGCCGC